GCCUGGGUGGCUCAGUUGGUUGAGCGUCUGACUUCAGCUCAGGUCAUGAUCUCACAGUUUGUGGGUUCGAGCCCCGCAUCAGGCU
rnacentral:tRNA from 1 species